CCCCGGUGAGUAGUGACGAUGAAUAUGGGGGGAUUCUUUAUGACUUGCCUGGCGUCCAAUUGCAACGAGACCUCCAUUUCGACUACGACAGUACGAACAUAUAUGGGAACAACAUAAACAUGGCCACCAUCUGCUAAUAAAUAUUUCCCUGCAGUAUAUAUGAUGUUUAUAAACCUUUUUCUUUCCAUGUNAACAACAUAAACAUGGCCACCAUCUGCUAAUAAAUAUUUCCCUGCAGUAUAUAUGAUGUUUAUAAACCUUUUUCUUUCCAUGUCUACAAAAAAUUGAUGCAGGAGAAAUUGU
rnacentral:lncRNA from 1 species